GGGACUUAGUUGAUGGUGACUCUGUUCUCUUCAACAUGUGGCUUUCAAGGUUGCCCUGAGUAUCAACAUCCACUAAUAAAAGCAGAAAAAGUAUGGAGAGAGGUACAUGGGAAGUUUUAAUGAGGCAGGCUAUAGGAAGAUAAUGAAAGAAAUUUGGAGAAGAACUGAUUGAAAUUAAAGCAAUUUCAAAGGACAUACAUGCCCUUUGAUGCAUCCCCUUUAAGGAAUUUAUACUACAAAUACGCUACAUACAUUGUGCAGAAUGAGGUCUAUACAAAUAUAUUCACUACAAUAUUGAUUUUAGGCCAGGCACGUUGGCUCACACCUGUAAUCCAAGCACUUUGGGAGGCUGAGGAGUGGUGGGGGGAUCACCUGAGCCUCCAAAAUUGUUGGGAUUACAGGCGUGAGCCACUGUGCCCAGCUCUCUCUUGACUUCUAUACUGGGGGAUUGCAAGAAUCCAAGGCAUCUGCCAGUAACACUAUGAAUUAGUUUGUAGUUUCUAAAAUUUCAUAUAAAUGGAGUCAUAGAAUAUAUACCUUUUUUUGGUCUGGUUUCUUUCACUCAGGAUAAAAAUCUUGAGAUUCAUCCAUGACACUGCAGUAGAUAUUGCUAUUUCUUUGUAUUCCUCAGAAGUAUUCCAUUGUAUGAAUUUGUAUGGAUAUACCACAAUUUAUCCCUUCAUCUGUUGAUAAUAUUUGGAUUGUUUCCAGUUUCUGACCAUUUCAAAUAAAGCUACUAUAAAUAAAUCUUUGUAUGGAUAAAUGCUUUCAUUUUUCUUAGGUAAAUACCAGGAGUAGAAAAUUUGGAUUAUAUGUGAGGUAUAUGUUUAACUUUUUAAGAGACUGAACGACUGGGUGCAGUGACUCACACCUUUAAUCCCAGCACUUUGGGGGGCCAAGGCGGGCAGAUCAUGAGGUCAGGAGCUUGAGACCAACCUGGCUAACCUGGUGAAACCCUGUCUCUACUAAAAAUACAAAAAAAAAAAAAAAAAAAAUUAGGUGGUGUGCGCCUAUAAUCCCAGGUACUUGGAAGGUUGAGGCAAGAGAAUUGCUUGAACCCAGAAGGUGGAGGUUGCAGUGAGCUGAGAUGGUGCCACUGCACUCCAGCCCGAGUGACACAGCAAGACUUCAUCUGGGAGGGAAAAAAAAACAACAAAAAAAACACUAAACAGUUUUCCAUAGUUGUUCUGCUAUUUUACAUUCCCAUCAGCAACUUAAGAAAAUUCCAGGCCAGGUGUGGUGGCUCAUGCCUGUAAUUCCAGCAUUUUGGGAGGCCAAGGCAGAUGGAUCAUUUGAAGUCAGGAGUUUGAGACCAGUCUAGACAAUACGGUGAAACCCAUCUCUACUAAAAAUACAAAAAUUAGCUGGGUGUGGUGGCACACGCCUGUAAUCCCAGCUACUAAGGAGGCUGAAACAUGAGAUUGCCAACAUUUGGUAUGGUCAGCCAUUCUAAUACUGGCCAUUUUAAUAUAUAUGUAGUAGUAUUUCAGUGUAAUUUUUAAUUUCCAGUGACUAAUGAUGUUGAACAACUUUUCAUAUACUUACUUUCCACUUGUGUAUCUUUUUGGAGGAAGUGUCUGUUCAAAUAUUUAUCUAUUUUAACAAUUGGGUUGUUUUCUUAUUAUUGAAAGUUCUUUAUAUAUUGUGGGUAAAAGUUAUCAGAUACACAAUUUAUAAAUACUUUCUCCCAGUCUGUGCCUUGUGUUCAUUCUCUUAAUAGUCACUUUUGCAGAGCAAAAGAUUUUUUUAUUAAGUUCAGCUAGUUUUUAAAAAACGUAUUAUGCUUUUGGUGUUAUACCUAAAAAAUCUUUUCUGCUUUUCGGCUUUCUGCUCAGAGGAGGCCAAGGUGCAACUUUCUUCGGUCGUCCCAAAUCUGGGUUCAUC
ensembl:lncRNA